CUUGUCCUACGGGAGGCAGCAGUGGGGAAUAUUGCACAAUGGGGGAAACCCUGAUGCAGCGACGCCGCGUGAGUGAAGAAGUAUCUCGGUAUGUAAAGCGCUAUCAGCAGGGAAGAAAAUGACGGUACCUGACUAAGAAGCCCCGGCUAACUACGUGCCAGCAGCCGCGGUAAUACGUAGGGGGCAAGCGUUAUCCGGAUUUAUUGGGUUUAAAGGGUGCGCAGGCGGUCUGUUAAGUCAGCGGUCAAAGCCCGGGGCUCAACCCCGGCCCGCCGUUGAAACUGGCAGGCUCGAGUUGGAGAGAA
rnacentral:rRNA from 1 species